UGCUCAAACCCUUAGAAAAGCUUUUCCCUUGUUCCAUAGAUUCUUCAGGUCAUUUUGGAUAUUCUCUUCUAGAGUCCUUGUCAGAGACUGCAAGAAGCACAUUCUCUGGAGGAGCCCACACACAUUGAUUAUGGCUGCUGCUCGAUCCAGACCUGUUGUGUUUGCCACCCACCCCACCCGGCUCAGCCGCUUUUGCCUGCGGGCGUUCAGCCCCCGAUCCAGACCUGAUUCA
rnacentral:lncRNA from 1 species